AAAAAGACAAACCCUGGUUUUCUGUGUUUAACUUUGACUAUCCGUCUUAUAUAAAUUUAUUUUAUAAUUCAUAUUUUAUUGAUGUUAGAUGAUAAAAACAUGAUAAAUAUUUUAUGUGUGACUUGUCUUUUUAAUUUUUUUCAUAAUUUUUUUAAAUAAGACGGCGGUUAAACGUUGAGCACAGAAACC
rnacentral:pre_miRNA from 1 species